AAGUGUGUAUUAUUUAUGCGUUGUUAUUAUUGUAUUCGGUGUAGAGAUAUUUCCUGUGCGGUGUAGACUAACUUUACAACUUCCUUCAGACGUUACCUAGAGUAGUUAUUGAGUUUUACCUGGAUCGAUUCAAAACCCUAAACGCUAAUAAAAUGUUGUCUGCUGUGGGAGUUAAAUGAGAGCGCCAUCUCGCGGCGAGUAUAUCAUCCCUGUUUGUUCUUAGCCUAUAAACUGUCAGCUUGUAGUGUUGGCAAGUAGCGACACAAGACGCGGAGAGGUGUUUGAGUGGGUUAUCAACGUAACGGACUAGCGGUAAAAACCACAGUCAGUUUCUUCUUUUAAAAAAUAAAAAGAUGGAUUUAGGAUUAACAGUAUUUGGGAUUAUUUCGAUCCUUUCUUUAAUACAUGGCGAGUUCAUUGUACCGAGUGCCAUUACAGCAGAUUUAGAUGAAACGGUUAUAUUAGAAUGUCGAUUAGAGGGCAACUACAGAUGGUACGCCAUCUCAUGGCAAAAACAAGCAGAAGAUGGAACAUCAGACAUUAUCGUCACACUUCCAGUUGAUACCAAACAACCAGACUGGAACAAUCAGAUGGACGCCUACUAUAGACAGAGAUAUGAACCGAUUAUAAAUAGCAACGCCGAUGUACUGGAAUUCAGCUUAAGAAUUAACGGAUUAACGUGCGUUGAUAGAGGAAUUUAUUCAUGUAAUGUUAUGGGUAAUUUCCCUCUCAAAUCUAAAUCAACAGAAGUUACCGUCACAUCCGUAGCAACCAGACCAGAUAUAAACUAUGAUGAACUUAGUUUAGAGAGAAACUCGACGUUUGAUAUCGAAUGUGAGGCAGAAGUUGGGUUUCCACCGGCUGAAUUAGUUUGGCUGUAUAAAGCCCAAGAUUCGCCGGUUU